rnacentral:lncRNA from 1 species
AGUGAGCUGAGAUGGGUGGUGUCGGCUGGUGGAGAUGGAACUUGCAAACAAAGUUUCUGAUCCACACUAUCUUCAGGAGAACUCUCCAAUACUCAAGUCAAUAGAUAAUCAGAGAAUAAGGAGUGUGUGUGUGUGUGUGAGAGAGAGAGAGAGAGAGAGGAGCAUCUGUGAUGGGUUUUCCACUUAUCUAGGGUCCCGCAUUCUGCAUCUAGGAUGUAGGACAAGCUAGUUGUUAGGUGGAUUCUCCCUGGUGUGAUUGAGAUUGCCUUUUGUGGCUCAUUGUGAUCGGAGGAUCGAUCUACUUUUGGAUUAGGAAGCCCUGCCUUAUUGGGCCAACCCUCUCUUCAUCCAGUCGAUGAGGUCAGGUCGGUUAGGUCUGACCUUG